AUUGAACGCUGGCGGCAGGCUUAACACAUGCAAGUCGAACGAGUGGCGGACGGGUGAGUAAUGCUUGGGAAACUGGCUGAUGGAGGGGGAUAACGACGGGAAACUGUCGCUAAUACCGCGUACCAUAGGAUGAGCCCAGUUGGGAUUAGCUAGUUGGUGGGGUAAUGGCCUACCUAGCCGACGAUCUCUAGCUGGUCUGAGAGGAUGACCAGCCACACCGGAACUGAGACACGGCCCGGACUCCUACGGGAGGCAGCAGUGGGGAAUAUUGCGCAAUGGGGGCAACCUGACGCAGCCAUGCCGCGUGAAUGAAGAAGGCCUUCGGGUUGUAAAGUUCUUUCGGUGGCGAGGCGUUAAUCACAGAAGAAGCACCGGCUAACUCCGUGCCAGCAGCCGCGGUAAUUC
rnacentral:rRNA from 1 species